AAAUUUUCUCGAGAAAAUCUAUCAAUCACAUUUUCUCGGAGAAUCUGAAAUAUCCUGAUCCAAUCAAGCGAAGAUUCUCAGAAUCAGUAAAUAAAAUUUUUCUUAAAAACUUCAGGCUUAAUGUGCCUGCAUCCAAUUGCCUUCCAUUUUCCACCCCUAAUUUCACUAAUCACCAACCUCAAGGAUUUACGUCUUUCCAUUUUUUUCCUAUUUACCUUCUUGUAAUUCUUGCUUUAAUUGCUUUCCUUCCAACAAGCCUUCUUUUUUAGGGGUUUAUUGACUGUUCCAUUGGGCCUUGUUUCAAUUCGAAACGCUCGUUCUUGGCGACUGCUCAUAGUAGCUAGCGAAAGAGCGAAAGAGUGAGAGACGGGGGAAUU
rnacentral:misc_RNA from 1 species